rnacentral:rRNA from 1 species
AGUGAACGCUGGCGGUAGGCCUAACACAUGCAAGUCGAACGGCAGCACAGGAGAGCUUGCUCUCUGGGUGGCGAGUGGCGGACGGGUGAGGAAUACAUCGGAAUCUACUCUGUCGUGGGGGAUAACGUAGGGAAACUUACGCUAAUACCGCAUACGACCUACGGGUGAAAGCAGGGGACCUUCGGGCCUUGCGCGAUUGAAUGAGCCGAUGUCGGAUUAGCUAGUUGGCGGGGUAAAGGCCCACCAAGGCGACGAUCCGUAGCUGGUCGGAGAGGAUGAUCAGCCACACUGGAACUGAGACACGGUCCAGACUCCUACGGGAGGCAGCAGUGGGGAAUAUUGGACAAUGGGCGCAAGCCUGAUCCAGCCGUACCGCGUGGGUGAAGAAGGCCUUCGGGUUGUAAAGCCCUUUUGUUGGGAAAGAAAUCCAGCUGGCUAAUACCCGGUUGGGAUGACGGUACCCAAAGAAUAAGCACCGGCUAACUUCGUGCCAGCAGCCGCCGUAA